GGCUAAGUUUCGGACUUGAACCCAAGCCGAGCCAAAGGUCCGCCAAAGUCCGAUCCAAAUACAAAACGGGCCUUAUUUUUUGGUUCGAGUCCGGUUUGAAUAGUUUCGUGCCAAGCUCGAAGCCCGAUCCGAAAUAGGUCCGGCCCAAUGGGAGCCCACUUCCAGCCCUAGAAGUAGCCUCCCAACCUGUGUUCGAGGAUAGAUAGGUUAAGCAACCACUUGGUGAAUUGGGCCUAAAGUUUUAAACAACUUGUAUUCAAGUCUAGCC
rnacentral:lncRNA from 1 species